UACGUAGGGGGCAAGCGUUGUCCGGAUUUAUUGGGCGUAAAGAGCGUGUAGGCGGCUUUGCAGGUCCGCUGUGAAAACUCGAGGCUCAACCUCGAGCUGUCGGUGGAAACCGUAAAGCUAGAGUCCGGAAGAGGAGAGUGGAAUUCCCGGUGUAGCGGUGAAAUUCGUAGAUAUCGGGAGGAACACCGGUGGCGAAGGCGGCGAUCUGGGUAGAUACUGACGCUGAGGUGCGAAAGCGUGGGGAGCAAACAGG
rnacentral:rRNA from 1 species